rnacentral:rRNA from 1 species
UACGAAGGGGGCUAGCGUUGCUCGGAAUCACUGGGCGUAAAGCGCACGUAGGCGGAUUGCUAAGUCAGGGGUGAAAUCCUGGAGCUCAACUCCAGAACUGCCUUUGAUACUGGCGAUCUCGAGUCCGGGAGAGGUGAGUGGAACUGCGAGUGUAGAGGUGAAAUUCGUAGAUAUUCGCAAGAACACCAGUGGCGAAGGCGGCUCGCUGGACCGGUUCUGACGCUGAUGCGCGAAAGCGUGGGGAGCAAACGGGG